CAGCUCUUUGGGCUGCUCUAUCCCUUUCCCAUACUCUGCUGUGCUGUGUGCUCUGAAUGCUAACUGCAGCCUUGUUUAGACUCGGUGCUGCCUCGGUGCUGUAAUCCACAUGUUGGGAAGGUCCGAAUUCCUGCUCCCUCCCUCCCCAUCUUUAAAGCUGCAUAUAUCCUAACUCUUGGAUAUGUGGCAAAUACAGGCUCAGACUUCCUGACCUGUAAAAACUCAACUGAUUGUGAAUAUCCUGUCUUCUGCAAAUGUAAUUGCUGUCUGACAUUCUGUAAUGUGCACAAAGUUGGCGUUAUGGACUGCAUUAUGGUAUGGAGAACUAAUUACAGAUAAGCUCAUGUUUUGAUGAGCAUGUAAUUAUAUUUAUUGAUUAAAAUAAAUCUACAAUUUUAUUUUGCA
rnacentral:lncRNA from 1 species